rnacentral:rRNA from 1 species
CAGCCGCCGCGGGAAUACAGAGGGUGCAAGCGUUAAUCGGAAUUACUGGGCGUAAAGCGCGCGUAGGUGGUUCGCCAAGUUGGAUGUGAAAUCCCCGGGCUCAACCUGGGAACUGCAUCCAAAACUGGCGAGCUAGAGUAUGGUAGAGGGUGGUGGAAUUUCCUGUGUAGCGGUGAAAUGCGUAGAUAUAGGAAGGAACAUCAGUGGCGAAGGCGACCACCUGGACUGAUACUGACACUGAGGUGCGAAAGCGUGGGGAGCAAACAGGAUUAGAUACCCCAGUAGUCCCUGUCUCUUAUAC